rnacentral:rRNA from 1 species
CCUACGGGCGGAGGAAGAAGGGAAGAUGAGGAAUGGGCGAAAGCAGGAAGGAGAAAGAGCGCGUGUGCGAAGAAGGCCUUCGGGUUGUAAAGCACUUUUUGAGAGGAUGAGGAAGGACGGUACUCUCAGAAUAAGUCUCGGCUAACUACGUGCCAGCAGCCGCGGUAACACGUAGGAGGCAAACGUUAUCCGGAUUUACUGGGCGUAAAGCGCGUGUAGGUGGUUUGGUAAGUAGAGCGUGAAAGCUCCUGGCUCAACUGGGAGAGGUCGUUCUAAACUGCCGGACUAGAGGAUGGUAGAGGGAGGGGGAAUGCCGGGUGUAGCGGUGGAAUGCGCAGAUAUCCGGAGGAACACCAGUGGCGAAAGCGGCCUCCUGGACCACUCCUGACACUCAGACGCGAAAGCUAGGGUAGCAAACG